UAUCUGCACUAAUAGAUAGCAACUCCUGCCCUAUGGUAAUAAAUAGCCGCAGUUUUCUGUGCUAAGGUAGCACAAUAACUUGCCUUUUAAUUCAAGGAUCGUAUGAAAGGACUCAUGACUCUCUCCUUUUCUCAUUUAUUUUUAAUAAACUUAACUUAUAAGUAAGAAGGCUUAUAUAAAAAAGAAGGACGACAAGACCCUAUAGAACUUUACUAAUGUUAGACUGGGGUGGUUAAAAACAAAAUCUUACACAUAUUAACAAUAUAUAGACCUGAAAUCUUUCAAUAAUUAGACCAAGUUACCUUAGGGAUAACAGAGUAAUCUCUUUUUAAAGGUAUCUUAUAAAAAGAGGCUUUCUACCUCGAUGUUGAAUUAAUACUACUUCAUAAAUAAAUAUUAUUCAAGCAGGUCUGUUCGACCUUUAAAGUAUUACAUGAUUUGAGUUCAGACCGG
rnacentral:rRNA from 1 species